rnacentral:rRNA from 1 species
GACGAACGCUGGCGGCGUGCUUAACACAUGCAAGUCGAACGGUAAGGCCCUUCGGGGUACACGAGUGGCGAACGGGUGAGUAACACGUGGGUGAUCUGCCCUGCACUUCGGGAUAAGCCUGGGAAACUGGGUCUAAUACCGGAUAGGACUCCUGCCUGCAUGGGUGGGAGUGGAAAGCUUUUGCGGUGUGGGAUGGGCCCGCGGCCUAUCAGCUUGUUGGUGGGGUGAUGGCCUACCAAGGCGACGACGGGUAGCCGGCCUGGGAGGGUGACCGGCCACACUGGGACUGAGAUACGGCCCAGACUCCUACGGGAGGAAGCAGUGGGGAAUAUUGCACAAUGGGCGCAAGCCUGAUGCAGCGACGCCGCGUGAGGGAUGACGGCCUUCGGGUUGUAAACCUCUUUCAGCACAGACGAAGCGCAAGUGACGGUAUGUGCAGAAGAAGGACCGGCCAACUACGUGCCAGCCGCCGCGGUAA